UACGGAGGGGGCGAGCGUUAUUCGGAAUUAUUGGGCGUAAAGGGCGCGUAGGCGGCCCGGUAAGUCAAAGGUGAAAUCCCUCGGCUCAACUGAGGAACUGCCUUUGAAACUGUCGGGCUUGAGGCCGGGAGGGGGUAGCGGAAUUCCCAGUGUAGCGGUGGAAUGCGUAGAUAUUGGGAGGAACACCAGUGGCGAAGGCGGCUACCUGGACCGGUUCUGACGCUGAGGCGCGAAAGCGUGGGUAGCAAACAGG
rnacentral:rRNA from 1 species